GGAAAUAAAUGAGUAUGAAUGACUAAAUUGCCCAUGUGAGUGUUAAUGUUUGAUUUUUGGCCCUAGGGGCAUUAUUGUCUUUUGUGGCAUUUGGGAUAUUACUAAGGAAAUGAAUUUUUGAGAUAUUGAAUUAGAAAAUUCUGGCUAUUUGCUUCCUCCUUACCCGACUCUCUCUCCCUCUCUUACUCUCUUGAUUUUUCAACUUUAUUUGGUGAGAAAUAAGCUUGGAUUGAAGCUUAGUUUUGGGGAAAUCUUUGUUCUUGCUUUUGGUGUGAUUUUGAGGAUUACCGGCACCUGAUCAGGAGCACCCGGGGAUUCGGAAUCUCCUUCUAUUGCUGAACAACAGGAAAGGGUAAGGCAUUAGCUGAUCAGCCAUGAGUUUUAGGAGCAGGACGAAGAAUGUACCUGUUCACGCCACUUUAGACCAAGCGGGUUAUGGGUCUAACAGUGUUGACUUUUGUAUUCCGUUUUGCCGCUUAGGUCGGCUAGUAAGAAAGAACUUGUAAUAAGUUUGUAAAUAUUUUUGGGAUCCCAACUAUUUUGAAAAGUUUAAAUAUAUUACAAGUUUAUUUU